rnacentral:rRNA from 1 species
UACGUAGGGUGCAAGCGUUGUCCGGAAUUAUUGGGCGUAAAGAGCUCGUAGGCGGCUCGUCGCGUCGACCGUGAAAAACCCGCGGCUUAACUGCGGGCUUGCGGUUGAUACGGGCGGGCUAGAGUUCGGUAGGGGAGACUGGAAUUCCUGGUGUAGCGGUGGAAAUGCGCAGAUAUCAGGAGGAACACCGGUGGCGAAGGCGGGUCUCUGGGCCGAUACUGACGCUGAGGAGCGAAAGCGUGGGGAGCGAACAGG